AAAAAAAAAAAAGUCCCACAAAGAGGAAAAGGCUGUCAAGUAUCAUGGAAGCUCUCCGCUUUUUAACUAUCCUUCGAUGACACGAUGAGAAAAGGUGAUUAGUUGUGUGAAGGUGUGAAACAUUUGAUCAGGUGACCGCCAUGUUGUAGUCGUCGAAAGCAUUUGGAGGCUGUUUGUUCCUUGACAAAAGAGAUUCUACGACAUGUCCGCUCAUAAACUCUGUCAGCCUUACAAAAAGGAGAGGAAAAGCAGUUUCUUCAAGCUGAUUGAGUCCUUUGCCUUGGAAAUCGGCACUUUGAAAAAGGAGAUGGGGAAAACGCCCGAGACAACAGAAGAAGACCACAAGAUGUCAGAUCCAAUGCUUGGCUGUCUUUGGGCGAGAGGCGGGGUACACCCUGGACUGGUGGCCAGCCAAUCACAGGGCACAUAUAGACAAACAACCAUUCACACUCACAUUCAUACCUAUGGACAAUUUGGAGUGGCUAAUUAACCUAACCUAAGAGUUAGUGGCGUCAUUAGGCCUAUUUUAAAAUGUUCUUAAGUCCCCCUAAAUAAUUAGAUUUUUUUUCAUUGAAUUUUUGAAUUUUCUAUUUUUAAAAUUUUUAAAAUUUUUAAAAUUUUUAAAAUUUUUAAAAUUUUUAAAAUUUUUAAAAUUUUUAAAAUGUUUUAAUUUUUUUUAAUUUUUUUAAUAUUUUAAGUUUUGUAUUUAUUUAUUUUUAUUUUACAACACAAAUCUCUGGCAAAUUGUAUAUAAUAGGGCAAAAGCAGGCUAAUACUAGCCUACUACUACUAGUAGUACUACUAGUAGUAGUAGUAGUAAUAAGCAUUCAUUCAUUUUCUACCGCUUAUCCUCACGAGGGUCGCGGGGGUGCUGGAGCCUAUCCCA